rnacentral:rRNA from 1 species
CAGUAGCCGCGGUAAUACGAAGGGUGCAAGCGUUACUCGGAAUUACUGGGCGUAAAGCGUGCGUAGGUGGUGGUUUAAGUCCGUUGUGAAAUCCCCGGGCUCAACCUGGGAACUGCAUUUGUGACUGGCAAGCUAGAGUGUGGCAGAGGGGGGUGGAAUUCCGCGUGUAGCAGUGAAAUGCGCAGAUAUGCGGAGGAACACCGAUGGCGAAGGCAGCCCCCUGGGCCAACACUGACGCUCAUGCACGAAAGCGUGGGGAGCAAACAGGAUUAGAUACCCCAGUAGUCCCUGUCUCUUAUAC